GACGAACGCUGGCGGCGUGCCUAAUACAUGCAAGUCGAACGAGAGCAACCGGUGCUUGCACUGGUGAAUCUAGUGGCGCACGGGUGAGUAACACGUGGGUAACCUGCCCAACAGAGGGGGAUAACAUCAGGAAACGGACGCUAAAACCGCAUAGGUCUUCGAACCGCAUGCUUUGAAGAGGAAAAGAGGCGCAAGCUUCUGCUGAUGGAUGGACCCGCUGUGCAUUAGCAAGUUGGUGAGGUAACGGCUCACCAAGGCCGUGGUGCAUAGCCGACCUGAGAGCGAGAUCGACCAGAUUGGGACUGAGACACGGCCCAAACUCCUACGGGAGGCAGCAGUAGGAAAUCUUCCGCGAUGUACGCAAGUCGGACGGAGCAACGCCGCGUGAGUGAAGAAGGUUUUCGGAUCGUAAAACUCUGUUGUUAGGGAAGAAGAAGUGCUAGAGUAACUGUUAGCGCCUUGACGGUAUCUAACCAGAAAGCCACGGCUAACUACGUG
rnacentral:rRNA from 1 species